GUACAGUAUUUAAAUUUAAGGUUUAGUAAAUAAAUGUCGAGCUGAGAUCACUUAAUCACUGGCUUGAUUAAUUACGACCAAACUGGAUGACUUGCGGGGGGAAAAAACUUGCAUUCAGCUGGGAUUUUUUUGUCCAAACGUAUCUAAUUUUUACCUAAUUUUUUUCCAAGUCCGUUAUCUUUGAACAACAGCUCACUUUUUAGGGAACAAAGUUGUU